CCCUCGAUAGCUCAAUAGUAGAGCACUCGGCUGAUAACCGGGCGACCGAAGUGCGAUUCUUCGUCGAGGGACCA
rnacentral:tRNA from 1 species